rnacentral:rRNA from 1 species
CCUACGGGAGGCAGCAGUGGGGAAUAUUGCACAAUGGGGGAAACCCUGAUGCAGCGACGCCGCGUGAGUGAAGAAGUAUUUCGUUAUGUAAAGCUCUAUCAGCAGGGAAGAAAAUGACGGUACCUGAGUAAGAAGCCCCGGCUAACUACGUGCCAGCAGCCGCGGUAAUACGUAGGGGGCAAGCGUUAUCCGGAUUUACUGGGUGUAAAGGGAGCGUAGACGGCGGUGCAAGUCUGGAGUGAAAGGGGGGGGCUCAACCCCCGGACUGCUCUGGAAACUGUACGGCUGGAGUGCAGGAGAGGGAAGUGGAAUUCCUAGUGUAGCGGUGAAAUGCGUAGAUAUUAGGAGGAACACCAGUGGCGAAGGCGGCUUACUGGACUGUAACUGACGUUGAGGCUCGAAAGCGUGGGGAGCAAACAGGAUUAGAUACCCGUGUAGUC